GGGAAUAUGGUCUAGUGGUAUGACGUCGCUUCCGCAUGCCGAGAGUCCACCAAAGUUUGCGGUCCGGAAAAGCGAAGGUCCGGGGUUCGAUCCCCUGUGUUUCCA
rnacentral:tRNA from 1 species